rnacentral:rRNA from 1 species
GACGAACGCUGGCGGCGUGCUUAACACAUGCAAGUCGAACGGUAAGGCCCUUCGGGGUACACGAGUGGCGAACGGGUGAGUAACACGUGGGUGAUCUGCCCUGCACUUCGGGAUAAGCCUGGGAAACUGGGUCUAAUACCGGAUAGGACUCCGGACUGCAUGGUCUGGGGUGGAAAGCUUUUGCGGUGUGGGAUGGGCCCGCGGCCUAUCAGCUUGUUGGUGGGGUGAUGGCCUACCAAGGCGACGACGGGUAGCCGGCCUGAGAGGGUGACCGGCCACACUGGGACUGAGGUACGGCCCAGACUCCUACGGGAGGCAGCAGUGGGGAAUAUUGAACAAUGGGCGCAAGCCUGAUGCAGCGACGCCGCGUGAGGGAUGACGGCCUUCGGGUUGUAAACCUCUUUCAGCAUCGACGAAGCGAAAGUGACGGUAGGUGCAGAAGAAGGACCGGCCAACUACGUGCCAGCCGCCGCUGUAA